rnacentral:pre_miRNA from 17 species
CGGCGCCCCCUCCUCCACCCACUUAGCCGCCGAGUGGCAGCUGAGCGGGGGCCUCGGGGUGGCAC